GCGUAAAGCGCACGCAGGCGGUCAAUUAAGUCAGAUGUGAAAGCCCCGAGCUUAACUUGGGAAUUGCAUCUGAAACUGGUUGGCUAGAGUCUUGUAGAGGGGGGUAGAAUUCCAUGUGUAGCGGUGAAAUGCGUAGAGAUGUGGAGGAAUACCGGUGGCGAAGGCGGCCCCCUGGACAAAGACUGACGCUCAGGUGCGAAAGCGUGGGGAGCAAACAGGAUUAGAUACCCUGGUAGUCCACGCUGUAAACGAUGUCGAUUUAGAGGUUGUGGUCUUGAACCGUGGCUUCUGGAGCUAACGCGUUAAAUCGACCGCCUGGGGAGUACGGCCGCAAGGUUAAAACUCAAAUGAAUUGACGGGGGCCCGCACAAGCGGUGGAGCAUGUGGUUUAAUUCGAUGCAACGCGAAGAACCUUACCUACUCUUGACAUCCAGCGAAUCCUUUAGAGAUAGAGGAGUGCCUUCGGGAACGCUGAGACAGGUGCUGCAUGGCUGUCGUCAGCUCGUGUUGUGAAAUGUUGGGUUAAGUCCCGCAACGAGCGCAACCCU
rnacentral:rRNA from 1 species